ensembl:lncRNA
GUUCAAUCACAGCAAAAAGUGAAGUGAAGUGAAGUCGCUCAGUCGUGUCUUUGCGACCCCAUGGACUGUAGCCUACCAGGCUCCUCCCUCCAUGUGAUUCUCCAGGCAAGAGUACUGGAGUGGGUUGCCAUUUCCUUCUCCAGGGGAUCUUCCCGACCCAGGGAUCGAACCUGGGUCUCCGCAUUUCAGGCAGACGCUUUAACCUCUGAGCCACCAGGGAAGCCCAAUCCCAGCAAAGGAUGUAAUCAACUGUGCCCACUACGAAGCCUGGAUUAAAAACUCUUGAAAACAGUGAGGUUCAGGGAGGUUCCAAAUUUGUGAACACAUUCAUGGGCUGAGAGGGUGGCACACCCAGAGGUGGCACAGACUCUCUGUGCCCCCAACUUCCUACUUACCCUAUAGAGUUGUAACAUUCAUAAUACAUUUGUCUUAUCCUGAGUUGUAUCAUUUAUAAUUAAGCGGUGCCGUCAACCCUCUAUAACCACAGGUUUCAAAUCAGGAGAUUCGAGUAGCUGCUAAUUGAAGGUCAGUGGCUGAUUGAAUCUGCAGAUGCGAAACCAGCGCACAUUUGGAAGAUUUACUGUAAUCACAGGCCUGGCGCCAUUUUACAUCUGGGGCCUGCUCAUUGGUGAAUUUUGGUACCUGUUGCUGCUGCUGCUAAGUUGCUUCAGUCGUGUCCGACUCUGUGCGACCCCAUAGACGGCAGCCCACCAGGCUUCCCUGUCCCUGGGAUUCUCCAGGCAAGAACAUUGGAGUGGGUUGCCAUUUCCUUCUCCAUUGUGUGAAAGUAAAAAGUGAAAGUGAAGUCGCUCAGUCCUGUCCGACUCUUCGCGACCCCAUGGACUGAGGGGUCUCCCAAAAUCAGUCCCCUGAGGAUGCUGAGGAACGACUAUAAUUAUGAAGAAGCUGAGGCACAGAGAGGUUAAAUGACGUGUGCCUGAACAUACUCUGUUCCCAGUACCAUCCUGUGACCGCCACUUGCUCGUUGUUUUCUAGAAACUAGUUUAAUAAUGGAUAUUCCCAGGGAGCCCCAUGGCUUUAAAACACUUGUUCGAAUUUGCAAUAUCCAUUAAAAUUUAAAUGCUCAUACC